rnacentral:rRNA from 1 species
UACGAAGGGGGCUAGCGUUGUUCGGAAUUACUGGGCGUAAAGCGCACGUAGGCGGACUAUUAAGUCAGGGGUGAAAUCCCGGGGCUCAACCCCGGAACUGCCUUUGAUACUGGUAGUCUCGAGUCCGGAAGAGGUGAGUGGAAUUCCGAGUGUAGAGGUGAAAUUCGUAGAUAUUCGGAGGAACACCAGUGGCGAAGGCGGCUCACUGGUCCGAUACUGACGCUGAGGAGCGAAAGCGUGGGGAGCGAACAGG